rnacentral:rRNA from 1 species
GACAGAGGGUGCAAACGUUGUUCGGAAUUACUGGGCGUAAAGCGCGUGUAGGCGGCAGCGCAAGUCGGAUGUGAAAUCCCAUGGCUCAACCAUGGAAGUGCACCCGAAACUGCGUCGCUAGAGUCCUGGAGAGGAAGGUGGAAUGCUUGGUGUAGAGGUGAAAUUCGUAGAUAUCAAGCGGAACACCGGUGGCGAAGGCGGCCUUCUGGACAGUGGACUGACGCUGAGACGCGAAAGCGUGGGGAGCAAACAGG